rnacentral:tRNA from 1 species
GGGGCUGUGGCUCAAUGGUAGAGCCCCUGCUUCACGUGUAUGAGGCACUGGGAUCGAUCAUCAGCACCACA